rnacentral:lncRNA from 1 species
AUUUUCUCACCCAAUGAAAACAGACCACGACCUACUCUGAGACCGGGUCCCAGUUGUCGUCACCUUGGUCGGAAGUUUUCCCUGCAAAUCCUGAACCACCACCCCCACAAUGAUCCCGAACCAAAACUGGACUUCCGCCAUUUCCCCCCUCUCACUCACCGUGAACAGACAAGCACGGCAGCGUUCCAGUCCUCCCAUAGAAAUAGUUCGGUUCUUGGAUGUUCUAACCAACACCAAAGUCUAUUCACUUUAACAAGGGAUCAACAAGUGAGGAUUUGUGGGUCACUUUUAUUUUUAACGGACCGGUGCCAGAAACACUGCGUCAGCAUUUAUACGUAUGUGCAUUUCAAACGAGGGUGCGUACAAGUCCGUCAUCCACUCACUGAAGGAGCCACAUCCCAGUUACCUACAUGCAAGGAGGCUGUCAAACAGAGAAAUCACUGCAGACUGUUGGUACACAGGCAUCUGCUGCCCAGCUCAGGAGUAAAGGUAUGUAAGUUUGUAUGUACCAACAGUAAGAUAGGCAAUAGAAGAUUUUAAUUGGUAUAUACUGUUUAGAUUUUAUAUUUGAAUUGUAACAACUGUUUAUCUGUUGUUUUAGCACAGACAGGCCUGUCCUCUUGUUUGGUUUAAUUUUUUUUCUGGUAUUGUGUGUUCUUACAUUAGAGAAGGUUUUGACCUACAUAAUAAUGAACAUUUCACUAAUCUACAAUUCUGAUUGCAGUACCUUUUUGUUUCGAUGAGGUGAUGGUGAGGACAGCCACAGCUUCCAUCUGGUAGAGGACUGCUUCCGCUCAGUCUUCCAAAUAGUGAUGAGAACAAGGAUCACCACAUCUCCCUGUUUACCCUACUUUCAUGCAUUUUGUCUGCAAGGCCCUGCAAAAGCUUCUGUCCUCAGACCCCCAGACUUCUUAAUUAACUCAGUAACCUAUACAUUGCACAUUGGAGUGUGAAGGUAACAGUUUGUUCUAGCUUUGGAGUAGUGGUGCAUUUUUUUGGUUUACAAUAAAGUUGGCUUUAACUAUUAUGUAUUUCA